GCUCCAGUGGCGCAAUCGGUUAGCGCGCGGUACUUAUAAUGCCGAGGUUGUGAGUUCAAGCCUCACCUGGAGCA